UGCAGUCGAACGCAGUAGCAAUACUGAGUGGCAAACGGGUGAGUAUAAUGUGGGAAUCUGCCUUUUGGUUUGGAAUAACACGGGGAAACUUGUGCUAAUACCGAAUAAGCCUUUACAGGGAAAGUUUUAACGCCGAAAGAUGAGCCCGCACUUGAUUAGCUAGUUGGUAAGGUAAAAGCUUACCAAGGCAAUGAUCAAUAGCUGUUCUUAGAGGAAGACCAGCCACAUUGGGACUGAGACACGGCCCAGACUCCUACGGGAGGCAGCAGUGGGGAAUCUUGCACAAUGGGGGAAACCCUGAUGCAGCGAUGCCGCGUGAGUGAAGAAGGCCUUUGGGUUGUAAAACUCUUUCGUCGGGGAAGAAAAUGACUGUACCCGAAUAAGAAGGUCCGGCUAACUUCGUGCCAGCAGCCGCGGUAAUACGAAGGGACCUAGCGUAGUUCGGAAUUACUGGGCUUAAAGAGCUCGUAGGUGGUUAAAAAAGUUGAUGGUGAAAUCCCAAGGCUCAACCUUGGAACUGCCAUCAAAACUUUUUAGCUAGAGUGUGAUAGAGGUAAGUGGAAUUUCUAGUGUAGAGGUGAAAUUCGUAGAUAUUAGAAAGAACACCAAAUGCGAAGGCAACUUACUGGGUCACUACUGACACUGAGGAGCGAAAGCAUGGGUAACGAAGANGAUUAGAUACCCUCGUAGUCCAUGCCGUAAACGAUGUGUGCUAGACGUUGGAAAUAUAUUUUUCAGUGUCGCAGCGAAAGCAUUAAGCCCACCGCCUGGGGAGUACGACCGCNNGGUUAAAACUCAAAUGAA
rnacentral:rRNA from 1 species